UACGGAGGGGGCAAGCGUUGUCCGGAAUCAUUGGGCGUAAAGAGCGUGUAGGCGGUCCGGUAAGUCGGCUGUGAAAGUCCAGGGCUCAACCCUGGGAUGCCGGUCGAUACUGCCGGACUAGAGUUCGGAAGAGGCGAGUGGAAUUCCCGGUGUAGCGGUGAAAUGCGCAGAUAUCGGGAGGAACACCUAUGGCGAAGGCAGCUCGCUGGGACGUUACUGGACGCUGGAGGCGACGAAAGCUAGGGGAGCAAACGGGG
rnacentral:rRNA from 1 species